rnacentral:rRNA from 2 species
UGGGGAAUAUUGGGCAAUGGGCGAAAGCCUGACCCAGCAACGCCGCGUGAAGGAAGAAGGUCUUCGGAUCGUAAACUUCUAUCCCCGGUGAAGAUAAUGACGGUAACCGGGAAGGAAGCCCCGGCUAACUACGUGCCAGCAGCCGCGGUAAUACGUAGGGGGCAAGCGUUGUCCGGAAUGAUUGGGCGUAAAGGGCGCGUAGGCGGCUCGGUAAGUCUGGAGUGAAAUUCCUGCUUUCAAGGUGGGAACUGCUUUGGAUACUGUCGGGCUUGAGUGCAGGAGAGGUAAGUGGAAUUCCCGGUGUAGCGGUGAAAUGCGUAGAGAUCGGGAGGAACACCAGUGGCGAAGGCGACUUACUGGACUGUAACUGACGCUGAGGCGCGAAAGUGUGGGGAGCAAACAGG